rnacentral:rRNA from 1 species
AGCGAACGCUGGCGGCAGGCCUAACACAUGCAAGUCGAGCGCCGUAGCAAUACGGAGCGGCAGACGGGAGAGUAACACGUGGGAACGUACCCUUCAGUACGGAACAACCAAGGGAAACUUUGGCUAAUACCGUAUACGUCCGUAAGGAGAAAGAUUUAUCGCUGAAGGAUCGGCCCGCGUCUGAUUAGCUAGUUGGUGAGGUAACGGCUCACCAAGGCGACGAUCAGUAGCUGGUCUGAGAGGAUGAUCAGCCUCACUGGGACUGAGACACGGCCCAGACUCCUACGGGAGGCAGCAGUGGGGAAUAUUGGACAAUGGGCGCAAGCCUGAUCCAGCCAUGCCGCGUGGGUGAUGAAGGCCCUAGGGUUGUAAAGCCCUUUCGGCGGGGAAGAUAAUGACGGUACCCGCAGAAGAAGCCCCGGCUAACUUCGUGCCAGCCGCCGCCGUAACAC